UUGCAUAUUACCUUACCUAUCCUUAAACCUUUUUGGGUUUCCCAUGUCGAUCAUUAUCCCUAUCUAUAUGGAGCAUUCUUAAACAAGGCAUCCUUAUAUUUAACAUUAUCCCGAAACCCGUGUGGGUUCUCCUAUCUGUCAUUAUCCUAAUACGACACUUGCAUUGCAUCUAAAAGAAAAAAUUUAGCAUACCUUCAAAAUUUAAAAUUAAAAAAAGAAAAAAAAAAUAUUUUUGCAUACAUACACAUACAUUUGCAUAUCCUUUCUGCUU
rnacentral:lncRNA from 1 species